CAGCUAUGCCUCUCCUUGGCAUAUACCCAAAGAACUUAAAAUCAGCAUACUACUGUGAUGAAGCCAUAUCAGUGCAGCACAAUUCACAAUAGCCAAACUAUGGAACUAAGCUAGAUGCCCUUCAUUAGAUGAAUGGAUAAAGAAAAUAUGGUAUAUAUAUACACUGGAAUGUGGUUUGCUGUCUAGUGUGUCUAUCAUCUUCUGUGCCUGGAAUGUGUGUUUGUGGUAGUGUGUUGUCUUGGUGUCUGACUCAUAGGAAGUUGGCUGAGGAUUUCAACAAUAUUUUUGCCUUUGUAAAAGUAAGAGGCAUUGUAACUUACUUCUGUCUCUUACUGUUACUCAACUCUAAAGAAAAAUGAAAUUAUGGCAUUGGCACAUAGAUGGAUGGAGCUAGAGAAUAUCAUGCUAAGUGAAAUAAACCAAUCUAAAAAGCAAAGGUGGAUGUUUUCUCUGAUAUGUGGAUGCUAAUUCACAUUACAGGGUGGAUUGUAGAGAAAAAUAGAGUUCCUAUGGAUUAGGAAUAGGAAAUUGAAGGGAAAGGAGGUAUUAUGUGAGUAGGAAGAAUAGUAGAAGGAAUCAAAUAUUAUUACCCUGUGUACAUGUGUGAUUACAUGACAGGUGUGAAUAAGAAGUUAAACUCUUUUUAUGUAUGAUGUGUCAAAAUGCAUUUUAAUAAUUUUAUUUUUUUUUAAUUAAUGAGAACAAAUUUUAAAAGAGAAGAAAGAAUUAAAAUUACUAUAUAUUCCACUCAGAUAUGCUUAGAAGACAUUCUGAGCACCACAAGAUAUCUGUCUCCUCAGCCUAUUCAGCCUCUAUAAGAGAGGCCCUCUAAGUAAGGAGAAAAGAAAAUGUUAAAAUCCUUCUUCAUAAACAUUAGUUUAAAAAAACUUUACUCUGUAUUGUGCAGGUCAUUUCAAAUUGUUGUAUUUUUAUAAAAAACACUUGAAUCAUUGAGUUUUGUAUUAGAGUGUUACCUGAUUUAUGGCUCAAAUUUUAGAAUGCAGUCCAUAGGUUCUGUGAAGUUAUGUUAUUCAGUUUGUUUAUUUAUGUAAGUAUGUGUUAUGUUUAUAUGAUAUUUCCUAAGUUCAAGAUGGUAUUCAUUAUUAAAUUUAUAAAAUUCCUGUACAGAUUUCUAUUCACAUUGACUUAGAGUUAAAUCAACAUGUGUAGAAACUAGAUCUAACCAAACAUGUAGAAUACAGAGAAGUAAAGAAACUCAAACAGGCUUCAUGUUCACAUGACUUGAAUAAAUCUUUGGUAAAAAAAGAUUGCAUUGACAGUGGUUAAUGAAAAAAAUGUGUUUCUGAACAAUCAGCAUUAAGUAUUUUAUUAGCUUAUAUUUUCAUUCUGUAUAUAUUAAACAGUCACAUAGGGUUAGCAAGGAAACACCUUGAGAUGAUACCUGAUUUUGCUGGUGUCAUAUUGCAUCUUCCCAAAAAGAGUAUUUGGAAAUAUUUGUCUUGAUAACUUGAUAUAUACUGUUAUGUUGUAUAUAUUAAUUAGAU
rnacentral:lncRNA from 1 species